GUACUUUAGCUCAGUUGGUUAGACGGCUCAUAACCGUCCGGUCGUAGGUUCGAAUCCUACAAGGUACA
rnacentral:tRNA from 2 species